UGUAGCUCAAUGGUAGAGUGCUUGCCUUGCAUGCAUGAGGCACUGGGAUCAAAUCUCAGCA
rnacentral:tRNA from 1 species